ACGAACGCUGGCGGCGUGCUUAACACAUGCAAGUCGAGCGAUGAAGUCCCUUCGGGAACGGAAUUAGCGGCGGACGGGUGAGUAACACGUGGGUAACCUGCCUCAUAGAGGGGAAAUAGCCUUCCGAAAGGAAGAUUGAUACCGCAUAAGAUUGUAGUUUCGCAUGAAAACAGCAAUUUAAAGGAGCAAUCCGCUAUGAGAUGGACCCGCGUCGCAUUAGCUAGUUGGUGAGGGUAACGGCUCACCAAGGCGACGAUGCGUAGCCGACCUGAGAGGGUGAUCGGCCACAUUGGGACUGAGACACGGCCCCAGACUCCUACGGGAGGCAGCAAGUGGGGAAUAUUGCACAAUGGGGGAGACCCUGAUGCAGCAACGCCGCGUGAGUGAUGACGGUCUUCGGAUUGUAAAGCUCUGUCUUCAGGGACGAUAAUGACGGUACCUGAGGAGGAAGCCACGGCUAACUACGUGCCAGCAGCCGCGGGUAAUACGUAGGUGGCAAGCGUUGUCCGGAUUUUACUGGGCGUAAAGGGAGCGUAGGUGGAUAUUUAAGUGGGAUGUGAAAUACUCGGGCUUAACCUGGGUGCUGCAUUCCAAACUGGAUAUCUAGAGUGCAGGAGAGGAAAGUAGAAUUCCUAGUGUAGCGGUGAAAUGCGUAGAGAUUAGGAAGAAUACCAGUGGCGAAGGCGACUUUCUGGACUGUAACUGACACUGAGGCUCGAAAAGCGUGGGGGAGCAAACAGGAUUAGAUACCCUGGUAGUCCACGCCGUAAACGAUGAAUACUAGGUGUAGGGGUUUGUCAUGACCUCUGUGCCGCCGCUAACGCAUUAAGUAUUCCGCCUGGGGAGUACGGUCGCAAGAUUUAAAACUCAAAGGAAUUGACGGGGGCCCGCACAAGCAGCGGAGCAUGUGGUUUUAAUUCGAAGCAACGCGAAGAACCUUACCUAGACUUGACAUCUCCUGAAUUACCCUUAAUCGGGGAAGCCCUUCGGGGGCAGGAAGACAGGUGGUGCAUGGUUGUCGUCAGCUCGUGUCGUGAGAUGUUGGGUUAAGUCCCGCAACGAGCGCAACCCUUAUUGUUAGUUGCUACCAUUUAGUUGAGCACUCUAGCGAGACUGCCGUGGUUAACGCGGAGGAAGGUGGGGAUGACGUCAAAUCAUCAUGCCCCUUAUGUCUAGGGCUACACACGUGCUACAAUGGCUGGUACAGAGAGAUGCUAAACCGCGAGGUGGAGCCAAACUUCAAAACCAGUCUCAGUUCGGAUUGUAGGCUGAAACUCGCCUACAUGAAGCUGGAGUUGCUAGUAAUCGCGAAUCAGAAUGUCGCGGUGAAUACGUUUCCCGGGCCUUGUACACACCGCCCGUCACACCAUGAGAGUUGGCAAUACCCAAAGUUCGUGAGCUAACGCGCAAGCGGGGCAGCGACCUAAGGUAGGGUCAGCGAUUGGGGUGA
rnacentral:rRNA from 1 species